GAUUACAACGCGCAAGAUCCGCUAUCGCUAUACCCGCUCAAUAUUACGCGCACCGAUCGAUAUCGGUGGGGGUGGUGUCUAGUGAUGAUAAUUUUGGACGCCUGUCCGUCGACCAGUGAAUUUUAAAUCAGUCUAAUAUACUAGCCAGCACAAAACAGUCCUUUCGCACUAACAUUUAUCCGUCAAGCAACAGUCUAAGCUCUAAAUCAACAUCUCCGUUCGAAUAAACUCAACUUAGACGUCUACGAUAUUAUCAGUGAUCAUCUUCUUCUUCAUCGUCUUAGACAUAAUACAUACUAAAAUAACGAUGGCAUUCCUGAAAAAUUUAAAACAGCAGACGAACAUUCUAAAUCUCUCUAUCGGAGAUUUGAUGAAAGAUGUUGAAUACCCCGUCCAGUCCAUGAAGGGCGUGGACACCAAAUUCGGUCCGGCAGUUUCGUGCGUCUUGCGCGAGCACGAUAGUGGCGGCGGGGUGAUCAACGUAUUUC